rnacentral:rRNA from 1 species
CAAUGCUGGCAACAGCGAUAAGGGAACCUCGAGUGCCAGGUUACAAAUCUGGCUGUCGAGAUGCCUAAAAAGCAUUUCAUAGCAAGGGCCGGGCAAGACCGGUGCCAGCCGCCGCGGUAACACCGGCGGCUCGAGUGGUAACCGUUAUUAUUGGGUCUAAAGGGUCUGUAGCCGGCCGGAUAAGUCUCUUGAGAAAUCUGGCAGCUUAACUGUCAGGCUUUCAGGAGAUACUGUCUGGCUCGAGGCCGGGAGAGGUGAGAGGUACUUCAGGGGUAGGGGUGAAAUCUUGUAAUCCUUGAAGGACCACCAGUGGCGAAGGCGUCUCACCAGAACGGACCUGACGGCAAGGGACGAAAGCUAGGGGCACGAACCGGAUUAGAUACCCGGGUAGUCCUAGCCGUAAACGAUACUCGCUAGGUGUCGGCCACGGUGCGACCGUUGUCGGUGCCGUAGGGAAGCCGU